AGAAAAAUUGCUUACUUCUGUCACGCUUAGGAAAUGGUGGAGCAACCAGAUUUACAUGUAGCUUCCCAGAACUGCUACAUGAAGAAUGCCAUGCUGUCACCCGUUGGUGUCAGCCAGGAGUGAAAUCUGAUGCAGUUGUGCUCAUAGAGCAGGCAGACUGAAAGAGAGGAAGGGACUGACAGGGUAUCACCAACAUCUUCAGUGCAGCUGAGAAACAUCUCAGAAAACACAUUUUGGAAGGACCCUGAGGAAGGAUAUGACAACAUUCUGCAAGAUGUGAAAUCUGGUAGACUGCCUGCUUCCAGUGACCCAGGGACCCUCUCAGGUACAGUGAUGAGUUCGCUUUUAUCAAGGUCUUCAGCAAAUUUCAGGUGAAGAGAUUAAAAUCCUGGAUUGGUAGCUUUGUCCCUUUUGGGAGUUACCUCUUUUGUGUUGUAGUGGACAGCA
rnacentral:lncRNA from 1 species